GUGGGUCCCAGUACCUGGUCCAGGAGGCAGCGUCUCCCUCCCGUCCGGGAUAAGACACCCCCUCCGCGGGUCCCCUGUCCACUCUGGAGAGGCAGCCCCCACUUGGAGGGACCAGGACCCGAGCCCUGCCCAUCCCCGAAUCCUGGGAGCCCUGCGUGGGGAGUGUCGAGGGCCUGGGUCGGGGGGCAAACUAGUGUGGAGCCAACUUUAAUGGAGGACCUAGCAAGUGCCAGGCAGCAUUCUGAGCCCUGGAAUCCGGUGAUGAACAUGACAGACAAGAUUCCUGCCCCCAAGGAGCUGCACCUUAAUAAGUCCCGCAAUGAAGGAGACAGAACAUAAACAGAGGAAAAUACACAAGAUGCCAGCUUGUGAGAAGUGCUAGCAAAAAAAGACACAAGUAUGUCCAGAGAGUCUGAGGUGUAUACAGUAGUUACUGGCACCCACUAUGUACCAGCCACUGUGCUGGGCACGGAUGGACACACAUCAGCCCCUGCCCGCAUGGUGGAACAGGGAUAUGGGAGAGAAAGACAACAAACAACUCGGUGUACAAAUAGUCAACUACAGUGGAAAAGCAAAGAUUAAAUCCUCAUACCUCUCUGGAAAAGUGGAGGGGACCACAUUCCAGCAUCUGGUGCCUUGUUUGCCCCAAACAUGACUUCAAGUGAAUCGACAUAAUACUCUUCCAGAGGGAAAGCAGAACCAUCUGCAGGGCUGAGGGACCAAGAAACACAGUGAGGAAUUCCACAGGAGGCCCACGCGGAGGGAUGUGACACCCCAGGUGGACUCUAGGGGACGCUCACUUGGAACUUGCAUCACCCGGAACUGUGUCUGCCACUGUGACUUCAGAGCAGCACAGACCUGAGGUGGAUCCAGCAAUGCCCACAACUGUCCAACAAUUUCACUUUUCCGAGGCUCAGUUUCCAUGUGGAAAAUGGACUGGCUCUGAGUAUUAAAUGAGGAUGAAUGUCCAUAUGCCUCACCCCUUUCUUCAUGAAAGGAAGACACCUCUGGGACUCAGACAAAUGGCCAAUAACAUCUAGUCUUUAUUCAGUCCUAACUGCAUGACAAUACAACUAGCGUAACAGUCAUCAACAUAAGGAAUGCUCUCAAUAUUGCUCGAUGCCCUGUGUGCUAUCACUAAUAGCAACAACUGCUGUUCAUCUAUGCCACGAUAUGCACCAAAUCUACACCACUCCUUUAAGGUGUCACUGUCUCCAUUCCACAGAUGAGAAAACAGCCUCCAGAAGAGGAAAGUGUAGAUGAGUUAAUUUUUCCCUGCCCAACGUUGAUUCCCAUUCCUUCUGAUCAUGGUGCCCUGACUUCUUUGGGAGAACUCCCUCUUCUCUGUGACGGGCUGACUGGUGGGAUUAUCAGUCAAGGUGCCCACCUCCUCUAGCUCUCCCCAUCUCUCUCAGUCUCUGGAGUUUCUGUUUCAAGCAUAAGGACAGAAGAUUAGAAA
ensembl:lncRNA LINC02292 long intergenic non-protein coding RNA 2292